UGGCGAACGGGUGAGUAACGCGUGAGGAACCUGCCUCAAAGAGGGGGACAACAGUUGGAAACGACUGCUAAUACCGCAUAAGCCCACGACCCGGCAUCGGGAAGAGGGAAAAGGAGCAAUCCGCUUUGAGAUGGCCUCGCGUCCGAUUAGCUAGUUGGUGAGGCAACGGCCCACCAAGGCGACGAUCGGUAGCCGGACUGAGAGGUUGAACGGCCACAUUGGGACUGAGACACGGCCCAG
rnacentral:rRNA from 1 species